GCGCGUAAAUUGCCCGAAUCCUGACACAGGGAGGUAGUGACAAGAAAUAACAAUACAGGGCUACUUCUGGUCUUGUAAUUGGAAUGAGUACAACUUACAUCUCUUCACGAGGAUCAAUUGGAGGGCAAGUCUGGUGCCAGCAGCCGCGGUAAUUCCAGCUCCAAUAGCGUAUAUUAAAGUUGUUGCAGUUAAAAAGCUCGUAGUCGGAUUUCGGGUCGGGCCGAGCGGUCUGCCGAUGGGUAUGCACUGUUCGGCGCGGCCUUCUUUCCGGAGACCGCGGCUACUCUUAACUGAGCGGGCGUGGGAGACGGAUCGUUUACUUUGAAAAAAUCAGAGUGUUUCAAGCAGGCAGCUCGCUCUUGCAUGGAUUAGCAUGGGAUAAUGAAAUAGGACUCUGGUGCUAUUUUGUUGGUUUCGAACACCGGAGUAAUGAUUAACAGGGACAGUCAGGGGCACUCGUAUUCC
rnacentral:rRNA from 1 species